ACCUUGCUCAGCAGGUACAGGUCCAGCACUUUUCUCUCCACGUGAGGAAGGCGCAGUUUGCAGCCCUGGAGCUCCCAGAACUUGGCGAUCUGGUCGAGGAAGUUGAGCUUGACUCUGGUGAGGGCCUGAAGAGAGACACGAGGUGAGAACAAACACAGCUUCUGUCACAGGACUGAGAGACUGAACUCACCUCCAGCUCAUUGAGCCGCUGGAUUCGAGGAGUGAAGCGGAAACUGCGCACGUCGCAGGCGAAGGGAGGCUGCCAGCCCUACAACACACACACACACAGCAGCUAUGAGUCUGAACAGAGCAGCAUUCACACACACUUUAACCAGAGCCACCUAUACUGCAUUCUGACAUCUGACCCCAUCACUUCAGCAUUAAAAUAAUGGCAACAUUAAAAUCCAUGUAAUAAACUACCAAAAACAUGAUAAAACAACAUUGAAAAAACAAAUACAUAAAAAUGACAAAAAUACCAAAAAUUACUCAAACUUUAAAUUUAAACAGCAGUUGGAUCUGUUGUUUUACUAUGUUUUACUGUGUUUUACUAUGGUAAAUCUCUGGUGUGUACUGUGUUUUACUAUUGUAAAUCUCUGUUGUUUUACUGUGUUUUACUAUUGUAAAUCUCUGGUGUUUACUGUGUUUUACUAUGGUAAAUCUCUGGUGUUUACUGUGUUUUACUAUGGUAAAUCUGUGUUUUACUAUGGUAAAUCUCUGUUGUUUUACUGUUUUACUGUGGUAAAUCGCUGUUACAGUACCUGCGGUGGUCGAAGCUGGUGUUUUACUUUGUUUUACUAUGGUACAUCUCUGGUGUUUACUGUGUUUUACUAUGGUAAAUCUCUGUUGUUUUACUGUGUUUUACCAUGGUAAAUCUCUGGUGUUUACUGUGUUUUACUAGGGUAAAUCUCUGGUAUUUACUGUGUUUUACUAGGGUAAAUCACUGGUUGUUUAAUGUGUUUUACUAUGGUAAAUCU
ensembl:lncRNA